rnacentral:siRNA from 1 species
ACCCAGGUGGUGGUGGCGGCUGGU